GUAUGUAAAGUGUGUCGGGUCUGUGAAUAAAAAGUCGUCGCGAUCAGGAACACGUAUCCUGACUAUGGAUGGAUCCGCCGGGGAAUCCAUACACAAGAUAGUUGGCACGCAAAGUCAACCGCGCCGCGAUAUACACAACAAAUGCCGACACAAUAAUGAACGAAACGCCGCGUAUAGUAAUAGAUCCAACUUGCUAUGUGUCGCAACCGGUAAAAAGGAACUUUACGUGCGGGAAUAGUAAGCUCUGACAUCGGAUCAGAGGCAACAUAAAUGUAAAAUAAACAAAGCACCUGAAAAUUAAAGCAGUGAUAUAGUGUAAUGAGCACAAGCUCCAAAGAGGAAAAUGGAUACCUCUAAGGGAAUAAUGAAAUGUUUUAUUGAAAAUGGGAUUUAUCUUCAUUGGGAGAAGGUGCAGAACUACAAAAUGAACGGAAAUCUCUGAAGUAUGUUUGGCCUCUUCGGAUCACCAUCGAAUUCAGUGUCAUAACGAUAGAGAAACGAGGAAUGAAUGAAUUGGUUACUUCAUAAAUUCGUCCCAACCAUUAAGCGAUUUUCUGGAGUGCGAAAUUCACUUUCGCUAUGUUAGAGGAAGGUGGAGCUUAUAAAUUACGGAGAAGGAGGAACAGAAGACCCAAUUAAUUACUUGAGAGCUUCGUCUUCGGCCAUAUGAUAGUAACGCAAAUAGAAUGUCCCUACAUAUGCAAAAAAUAUUUUUCCCACGCCUACUAUGUCCAACCAUCAAGAUAAAACGUUCAAAUCCGGUUCUAACUGACUUUCUCAGCCCUAAAAUCUCCCAUCCUUCAACAUAAUGAACGUACAAUUAUUUUUCCUGUCUAGUUUUUCUUACCCUAAAUAUAAUGGAUAAAACAAGUCGGGGGACCGGAAGCUGGACGCUUCAGGUAUGAAAGGUUUUACGUAGGUUUUACGUUAUAACAAUAAAGAUAUUUAAUAUAUGCAUAUAUUUUGUGAGAAAAUCCACUUUCGCGUGAUAUUGACAUUCAAAGUCAUGCAAAUUUACACAGAAACGACAAA